rnacentral:rRNA from 1 species
AGUAACGGCGAGUGAAGCGGUAACAGCUCAAAUUUGAAAGCUAGCUCUUUUAGGGUUCGCAUUGUAAUUUGUAGAAGAUGCUUCGGGUGUGGCUCCGGUCUAAGUUCCUUGGAACAGGACGUCAUAGAGGGUGAGAAUCCCGUAUGUGACUGGGUGCUUUCGCUCAUGUGAAGCUCUUUCGACGAGUCGAGUUGUUUGGGA